AAUGAGAGAUUUUCUUUGGAGAAAGCUUUCAAGUGCCAGGCAUUUCUCCCCAUCAUGUGCCCCCCUAGUGGAGGAGGGGAGAGAGGGUGCUCUACUGGGAGCACUUCACAAACUCUUCUGGAAUGUAACUCGUGUGGCACAGAGGGUGAUGCCAGGCUCUGGGGAAGUGUCAAGUCAGGAGAUGCUAGCUAGCUGGCUGUGCUGAUGGCAGAAUAGGGAGAAGUGACUGCUGUCAGAAAUGGCCUAUUCCCUCAAGGUUUGUGGAGGCCAAGAAUGUGGACGUGUUCCCAGCAGGCCAGGAUCAAGACAGCCUAUAGCUAUCUUAAGAGCAACUGGGCUUUUGAAGCAGUCUAUGUGGGAUGGACUGACAGAAACCAGAGUCAACCAGGAGCUGGUGGAGAUGGCUCUCAAGAGAGAAUCAGCGACAGGUCUCCAAAUAAUCUGUAAGGGACUAGUUUGAAAGGUAGCUUAAAUGUCAGGGUCUAAGGAGACCAACGCCCAGUUUUUCUAAGUUCCAGGCAAGUGAGACCUUUUCUGCCCCCACCUCACUGCAACCCCAGUGAAGCCAGUGCAGCCAGGGGGUGAAGAAGGAGUGGACUAGGUAAAGAUGUAGAGAUGAAUCUGACCACAGAUCCUUUAUACCCUGGACCACAAAAGGGAGGAGAACUUGAACAGAAAAUGCAGUUAGGGGUUUGGAUUACUGCUUUGUGACUAAUAAAUAGGACUAGACACUUUCAUCCCCACAUAUAAGACAGUCAGCUCACAGAGAAAAAUGACAAGGUGGGUCUGCAAACAACGGAAGCACUGGCACACCAAAACUUGAUCUACAGAGCCAUCUGAAACUAUAAACAAAUAUGCUGAUGAAUAUUAAGAAGAUGAAAGAAAGAAACCAAAGGUUUAAAACUAUGAUGCUGAAAACAAUGAAAUGUCUCUAGGUAAUUAAACAGUAUGGCAGGUAAUCUAAUUUAAAACUAAAACCCAGCUCAAACUAAGAAAACAUAUUCCCACCCUCUGCUUGAUUUGCUUUCUUUCAAGGGCCUUUAAAGCAAAACACUAACCAUGAAGAGUUUUACUUUUCCCAGGAAAUGAAAUAUUUUCUAACACAGAACAGCAAAUAAAAUACUUUUUCUAACACAAAA
rnacentral:sRNA from 1 species